UAAGAUUAAUACAGACAUUCAGAUAAAAUACGUCGUCAAUACUCAAUCUAAAAACGAGGGUAUAAAAAUAAUCAUCAAUUAAGCAAUAGCUCUAUCAUUUGUCUAGGGGAUAUUGUAUUGUCCGAUGGGAAGAUAAAAGUCACUGUCCUUUCAAGCUGCAGCUUUUGGGUUUAAGAGAGACGGUUUUAAACUUGCCCGGGACUUUUAUGAGGCCAAUCCGUUGCAUCGGGGGAGUUGGUUCCCCGUUGUUAGUUCCAAGUCGUUUUCCGUGGUACCAGCCACCAGCCCCCAGGCAAGGGAACCGAACGCACGUGGCUUCCUUCAAAUGGCUUCCCACUAUUACGGAAUCGCUAGCGUUUCUUCUGGUGCAUCUGAAAGGGGUUGUUCCCCCAGACCCUCUUUUAUACUUCCUCACGGGGUCUCAGAUGUCAAUCAGGUUGGGAUGAUGCAAUCUCUCUCUCAACCAGCCCACUUUGCCCGAGGGCUUGCACGUAGCAUAGUCCCCAAUCCACAAACGUGGUCUCCAGGAGACAAUGGCCAGGUCUCUCUCUCUCAUUUCCUGGGUCCUCUGAGCCAACCCAAUAAUGCUCUUGCGAUUCUCACAAAGGAGGGGGCUCCCACCGCCCCUUCGGCCCCUCAGAGCUGUGGUGCAUUCAUAACAAUUGCAAGGGACAAAGUUGGUUCUCUGGAAGAUCAGAAUGGGAAUCUAUGUGUGGAGCAAAACAGAUGGGGGGGGGAGACUUCAAAUAAUUUUUUAUGCAUUUGUAUUUAUUCAAGAGACAGACUCAGAGAGUUACCGGGUUUGGAUAUGUCCCAAGUGCGCAGUGAGAGACACUGAAGCAGGUCGAUAGUUCACAAACUUUAUUGUGAACAGUGUUAAAGAGAAAAUAAACAAUAAAGGCUAGGCCAAAAAGGGCCGUUAACUAAAACACUCAAAUGGGAAACAAAGCCUAUACUGCGGCUGCGGCUGAAAAGAAAAGCUAAACAUUAAACGAAUACCACUAGUCAUCGAAGUCAGUUGACUCAAAAGUCCAAUUUCUCAGGGAAGGCCGAAAACAAAACGAGCAGCGAAGCAUUGCUGUGCUCUGUCCCAGUCUCGACAAGCACUACGACAACAAGUGUAGUGACAUCUCCCCAAAACCUUGUCCCACUCUCUUUAAAUGGAUAUCUUCUGGUAUUGCCAUUGCCACCUUGGGAGAAAGGAAGGAUGUCAAAGAUUUGGAGAGGUUUCAGAAGAGGUUUACUAGGAUUCUGCCUGGAUACGAAGGCAUGCUUUAUAAGGAGAGACUGGACAAACUUGGGUUGUUUACCCCGAAGCACUGGAGGCUGAUAAAGGUUUAUAAUCUUAUGCGAGGCAAAGGUUCAAAGAAUCAGAAGCUGUUGCACUCACCAGGCUGUUUGAACAACCGGACCUGGUCAUCAUCCCAGACCCAUCCUUUUGAGGCCCAGGCUGGAGACACCGGCCCAGUGGGAGAUCAAGACCAUCGUCAGGGGAGCCUAAUGGCAGGAGGCUGAGCCAGGGAACAGUCCACCAAGGCCCCUAUUCUUCCCCUUCUCUGUCUGUUUAUAGGUAUUACAGUUGGGGCACAUAUCAUGUAUCGCAGGAUAUCUGUGGACUGCUGGAAUGGCGGAGUUGAUCAAGAGGCAGUUCUGGUACUGAGCAUGGAUGGGGUUGUUAAAUCAUAUGUAGCAGCCUGUCACAUCUGUACCCAGAACUAGGAACCCAGAUCACAUCCACAGGGACUGCAACACCCACUGCCCAAUCUUUCCCGUCCCUCCUCUCAUAUUUCCAUGGAUUCAUUUCUGGUCUGUCACCAUCACGAGGUAACACCGUGAUUAUGGUGGUGUGGACCGGUUGUCCAAGGUCUGCCACUUUGUGUCCCUACCCAACCUUUCCUCAGCUUGGGAGAUGACCAACCUUAUGUUGAAACCUGUAUUUAGAGUGCAUGGCUUUCCCCAGGAUGUUGUUUCAGUUUACCUUCUGGCUCUGAAAGGCUUUCUGUCAGCUCAUGAGAGCUACGGUCACCCCCUGUCCAAUGGGCAGAUGGAGAGGACCAACCAGGACCUGGAGAAGACCUGGAGGUACCUUGUAAUGGGCACUUGGAGUGAUCAUCUGCUCUGGGACUCCUGUAGAAUAUUCUACAGGAUUAUUUCCCUUUUAAGUGUCAGUUUGGUUAUGCAUCCCCUCUGUUUCCUGAGCAGGUGGGAAUCUGAUCUGCUGAACGGCUGGUCCGAUGUUACCAGCAGAGUUAAGGGAGAGUUCAGGCAGCCCUGCUGAAGGCCUCUUUGCAGUAACAGUGGCAAGCCAACCAUCGAAGGUGGCUGGGGCCUUUAUUCCAUCCCGGUCAAAGGGUCUGGCUCUCCUCUGUGGGUUGUGUCUUGGAAACUGAUGCCACACUACAUUGGGCCAUUCAAUGUUCUCCGUCGGAAAAGCUCAGUUACUUAUCUUCUCCAGUUGCCACACAACAUAUCAACCCCACCUUCCAUGUCUCCUAUCUAAAGCUCCUUCAGUGCAGUCCGCUGGCACCAAUCCUGAGGCUGCUCCUGGCUCCUCACUUCAUUAAUGGUCAUCUAGCAUACACUGUCCAUCAGCUUUGGGACUCACGUCUUGUUUGUGGCCAGCUCCAAUACUUGGUGGAUUGUGAGGGUUAUGGCACAGAAGAAAGGCAGUGAGUUCCCUCUUGUGACAUCCUGGACCCUGGACCUGAUCAGGGACUUCCACUGUCGCCACCUGAAACACACUGGUAUAUCAGGUGCCAGACACAGGGGAGGCCUGUCAGGCCUCAGUCUGAUCAAUAGGGGGUGUUGGAGUCCUCCCAGAUAUGCUCCUACUCCCCUGAUUAUUAGUUGUUUAUUUUCACUAGUCUUAUUUUAGUUAUCUGCGUACCUAUACCUUGUUUUGUUUCACUAACUGUAUUGAAGUUCCUUCUGUUUUGUUUGUCUUUGUCCAGAGUUGAGUUUAUCUACCCUGUGUGUGGUGAAUACUGAGUUCCCUAUAAACCAAUCUUCAAGUAAAGAUUCUUCACUCAAAUCCUUCCUCAUGUCUGAUCUCCUCUGUACUUGGGUCCACCUGGUCUACCUCUCUCCAGGUAGUCCACCAUUUAAAGAUGUUGAACCUCACCGUGACAACCCCAGUUCAAACCAGUCUGGCAACCACCAUUCACAAUAGCAAGCAACACAUGCACUAAGCAUGCUGGAGAAACUCAGUAGGUCAGGCAGCAUCUAUGGAGGGAAAUGAGCGGUUAACAUUUCAGGCUGAGAUACUUCAUCAGGUUUGUGUCAACAUUUUAUCACAAGACCCUUCACUUGGACGGCAUAGUCUUUGUAAAGAUGACUAAUUGAUUUCUUGAUACUUUCAAAAGCUGUAUGCAUUUUUAUUUACCUCUUAUGCCUUCACCUCUGGCCAUUUCAUGACCAGGUAUCUAUUUUUAUUUUAUAUAUUACAAGGGAACAGGAAUUGCUAGAUGGAAAAAAGAGAGCGCCCCAUCUAUUUCCCUUCUACAUUCUGGUAACUGAAUGGAAAAAAAAUGAGUUGUUGCUUAUUGAUGGUAAUUGAUCUUUAUUAUUGGCCUACAAAAACACAGGAAAAAUAAUGUGAUGGAAAAUGUGAAAAUCUAGGUCCAAGUUAUCCUUCUCAAUAUUUUUUACUCACCGUCAGGACACAAAUGACUCAAAUAUUUUUUGUUAUGAUCAGCUCAAUUGAUUUCAGUACUAAGUAACUACAUGUAUAUUUUUUUUAAAAAGACUUCUGAAUUCCCCUUUGUUUUAAACUUGCAUCUUUUAAUAUUUGAUGGCUACAUUUUGCAGAAUGAAAGAAUAAGUUGCCUAGAUCAAUGCCAUAAACCCUGAAAUUUUCAAACUAGGCUACUUCCAAGUCUCU